AUGAGAAAAGUUAUAUUUUAUACACACAUGAAGGUNNNNNNNNNNCACGCUGCAUUUUGGUCCGACUCUCCUUCGUAUGAAGACGAAACUCAUUACAGAAUCACCCACCACCAACGGACCAAGCGGCGUGUCAACAGGCAGCAGCAGCAGCAAAAAGAGGAGUUACGUUGUAAGGAUUUCUGGACAUGGGAGGAAAUCCUCGACGGGAGAGGACCCUGGGCUAAACCAGGGGAGUAUAGCCGCACCAAGGUGCAGCCGAAGAAGGAACAGAGGCAGCAGGAGCAGCAGCAGCCGCAGUGGGAGAGAGCGUCAUGGGAGUAUGAAUUAGAUAAUGGUGGACCAUGGGCUCAACCGGGAGAAUAUCGCCGUCCCAAGGAAGAACUGGAGGCGGCGAAAGCUGAGAGGCGCAAAUAUGAGGAAGUAGCACGACGGAGCGGAUGGAAGCCCGAGAGUAAGCCUCAAAAAAUUUAUUGGGGGGGGGGGCUAACAGGGAGUAUGGCUACGCCAGGUCGCAGACCUGAGCCAACUCCCCCUGUUUAUCGUGAGGAGCCAAGGAGGAGACCAGAACCGGUGUUGGAGGUAAGCGAAGCAGAGACUGUGAAUGAGUUAAUGGAGAAAUUGGAGGAGAGUGAAAUGAGGGAGUUGCUGUGUUGGUGCUUUAAAUAUGAUAUUCGCCCGAAGGAGCGUGUCGGGGAUUUAUUGGCACCUGGGUCAGUGCUCUCUACUCGUCCUGAGGUGCGUGCUAGUCAGCUGGUGAAGACAGUGCCAGUCUCACGCACCAGGCCUCCUGUGUACCUCCCUAGCCUUGCAUGUCCUGUGCCAACACCGCUCUCAAGAUCUCCAGUACGCCUUCACGGUCUAACCCAUCCUGUGCCACCUCCACACCCCAGCCCUCCGGUAGCAGCUCCCCGCACUAGGCUUCCUGUGCGUGUCCUCGGCCCAGUACCACCAGUGCCAGCACCACGCAUCAGGCCUACAGUGCGCCUCGCCUGUUUAGCGCUGUCGGAGCCUUCCUCCUCUCCNNNNNNNNNNAGAUGA
rnacentral:lncRNA from 13 species